rnacentral:rRNA from 1 species
CCGUAACUAUAACGGUCCUAAGGUAGCGAAAUUCCUUGUCGGGUAAGUUCCGACCUGCACGAAUGGCGUAAUGAUGGCCAGGCUGUCUCCACCCGAGACUCAGUGAAAUUGAACUCGCUGUGAAGAUGCAGUGUACCCGCGGCAAGACGGAAAGACCCCGUGAACCUUUACUAUAGCUUGACACUGAACAUUGAGCCUUGAUGUGUAGGAUAGGUGGGAGGCUUUGAAGUGUGGACGCCAGUCUGCAUGGAGCCGACCUUGAAAUACCACCCUUUAAUGUUUGAUGUUCUAACGUUGGCCCCUGAUCGGGGUUGCGGACAGUGUCUGGUGGGUAGUUUGACUGGGGCGGUCUCCUCCUAAAGAGUAACGGAGGAGCACGAAGGUUGGCUAAUCCUGGUCGGACAUCAGGAGGUUAGUGCAAUGGCAUAAGCCAGCUUGACUGCGAGCGUGACGGCGCGAGCAGGUGCGAAAGCAGGUCAUAGUGAUCCGGUGGUUCUGAAUGGAAGGGCCAUCGCUCAACGGAUAAAAGGUACUCCGGGGAUAACAGGCUGAUACCGCCCAAGAGUUCAUAUCGACGGCGGUGUUUGGCACCUCGAUGUCGGCUCAUCACAUCCUGGGGCUGAAGUAGGUCCCAAGGGUAUGGCUGUUCGCCAUUUAAAGUGGUACGCGAGCUGGGUUUAGAACGUCGUGAGACAGUUCGGUCCCUAUCUGCCGUGGGCGCUGGAGAACUGAGGGGGGCUGCUCCUAGUACGAGAGGACCGGAGUGGACGCAUCACUGGUGUUCGGGUUGUCAUGCCAAUGGCACUGCCCGGUAGCUAAAUGCGGAAGAGAUAAGUGCUGAAAGCAUCUAAGCACGAAACUUGCCCCGAGAUGAGUUCUCCCUGACUCCUUGAG